rnacentral:tRNA from 1 species
GCCUGGCUGGCUCAGUUGGUAGAGCACGCGACUCUUGAUCUCGGGGUUGAGAGUUCCAGCCCCAUGUUGGGUG